GUUAAAAAUGUUUGUUUUUUUGUUUGUUUUUUUGUUUGUUAUUUUAAGCUGCCAAAGGUUGGGGUAAUUUGUUACACAGUGAUGAAGUAACAUUCUAGUGGAGCUCCUCCUGCCUGCGGUGCUGCAUCAGCAAACCAAAGCUUUUCAUGAUGAAGAAUGGGAUCCAAAGCCUUCAGCUACUGGCCUAUGGGAUGAGGUGUACAGGCAAGGUUCUCACCAAACCCUUAGAUUUCACUGUUCCUCUCUUCCUCACAGAAGAGCCACAGUUCUUACUUCCUUUUUGACAAAGACUCAGGAAGCACCAGGAGAAGGAGGAAUACAGAGAAAUAUGAGAGAAGAUCUGUUACCAGCAUGUGAUUAGUUGACCUGGGAUCCUGCCUAUUAAAUUAUCACUGAUCAAGAAAAUUAUUUCAAGUUUACAUUGAGCCAGUCUUGGUUCUUAAAGUGUAACCAGUUCAACGUCUUGGUUCAAGCCACAAACCUAAUACCUUUAUGGUGUGAUAAUAGAAAUCCAGGGGCGCGUGGUGGCUCAGUUGGUUACACAUCUGCCUUUGGCACAGGUCGUGGUCUCAGGGUCCUCAGGAUCGAGGCCCGCAUUGAGCUCCCUACCCAGGAGGUUGCCUCUUUCUCCCUCUCCCCCUGCUUAUUCUUUCUCUCUGUCUCAAAGAAAUCAAAAUAUAUAUAAAAAAAGAAAUCUAUUCAUUUUUCUCUGAGGAAAUAGCUAAAAUAGUAGCAGAAUCAGAGUUAUAUAUAUUAUAACUUACCAAGGACUCAAAACAGAUCUCUCCAGGCAGGGAAAGUAUCAAUAAUUCCCACUAGACUAAUAUUUAGCCAUUAAUCACCCAUUAACCUUUGACUUCGUAUGUUGUAUUCUUCAGUCAUAUAUAUGUCAGCACAUGGUAAUUUGGUACUUCUUAGAAAUCACUGCUGCUGCAGUAUUCUGGGAUAGGCAAAAACAGGGUAACAUUUACUCAAAUCCACAAAAUAGUUCCAGUUAUAGCCUGUCAUUUUAUUUCUACCUUGAGACAAGAUCCUCUGAGUAUAAGGAUGUGAUCCUGUUUAUAUAUAUUUUUAAGCUGGACAAGAAUACAUGCUAAAAGUCACUCACAAUUAUUCUUGACAGUUGAAUAUGACUUGUAUUCUAAAACUUGAACAUAUUGUGACUUAAAUGUCUAUUUGGAAUAAUAUUUAAGAAUUUGAUGUCACUCUGUUUCCUGAGAUUUAUAUCCUGAGAGGUUUUCUCUGUAAA